rnacentral:rRNA from 1 species
GAUGAACGCUAGCGACAGGCUUAACACAUGCAAGUCGAGGGGCAGCACAGGUAGCAAUACCGGGUGGCGACCGGCGCACGGGUGAGUAACGCGUAUGCAACUUACCUAUCAGAGGGGGAUAACCCGGCGAAAGUCGGACUAAUACCGCAUGAAGCAGGGGUCCCGCAUGGGGAUAUUUGCUAAAGAUUCAUCGCUGAUAGAUAGGCAUGCGUUCCAUUAGGCAGUUGGCGGGGUAACGGCCCACCAAACCGACGAUGGAUAGGGGUUCUGAGAGGAAGGUCCCCCACAUUGGUACUGAGACACGGACCAAACGCCUACGGGAGGCAGCAGUGAGGAAUAUUGGUCAAUGGCCGAGAGGCUGAACCAGCCAAGUCGCGUGAGGGAUGAAGGUUCUAUGGAUCGUAAACCUCUUUUAGAAGGGAAUAAAGUGCGGGACGUGUCCCGUUUUGUAUGUACCUUAUGAAUAAGGAUCGGCUAACUCCGUG